GAUGAACGCUGACAGCAUGCUUAACACAUGCAAGUCUUUGGCGAAUCUGUGCUUGCACCGGCUAGCCAAGGCGGACGGGUGAGUAACGCGUAAAGAACUUGCCCUGCAGACAGGGAUAACAGACGGAAACGACUGAUAACACCUGAUACAGUUGCCGGCACGCAUGUGCCUGGCAAUGAAAAGAGAUGCUGCAGGAGAGCUUUGCGUCCUAUUAGCUUGUUGGUGAGGUGACGGCUCACCAAGGCGAUGAUAGGUAGCCGGCCUGAGAGGGUGAACGGCCACCAGGGGGCUGGGGUUCCGCCCUUUCCCCUACCGGAGGCCGGAGGGGGGAAUAGUGGACCAUGGGGGCAACCCUGAUCCAGCAAUUCUGUGUGCACGAAGAAGGUUUUCGGAUUGUAAAGUGCUUUCAGCAGGGAAGAAGAAAGUGACGGUACCUGCAGAAGAAGCGACGGCUAAAUACGUG
rnacentral:rRNA from 1 species